UGGUGAAACACUCCAUGCAGUUCCCAGUCCACAAGACUGAAAAAAAAAGAUAAAUGCAGCAGUCUUCUGUGAAGCAAGAAGAAAAUUGUUGCACAGAAGAAUAUAACCUUUCUGCUGACACCCUCUUGAGAGAUGUGAGGGAAAAGGAAGCCAUAGUCCAUUAUGGGGCAUGGUGAAGGCAGAGAAAAAAUAGACAAUCUACAGACGGCUCCAAGUAACAAAGGGUUCAUUAACAAAAAACUGGAAAUAGCAAGGGAGAAACC